GUGAGGCAAGCUUACACAUGCGAGUCGAGCGGUGAGAGGUGCUUGCACCUUAUCUUAGCGGCGGACGGGUGAGUAAUGCUUAGGAAUCUGCCUAUUAGUGGGGGACAACAUUCCGAAAGGAAUGCUAAUACCGCAUACGUCCUACGGGAGAAAGCAGGGGAUCUUCGGACCUUGCGCUAAUAGAUGAGCCUAAGUCGGAUUAGCUAGUUGGUGGGGUAAAGGCCUACCAAGGCGACGAUCUGUAGCGGGUCUGAGAGGAUGAUCCGCCACACUGGGACUGAGACACGGCCCAGACUCCUACGGGAGGCAGCAGUGGGGAAUAUUGGACAAUGGGGGGAACCCUGAUCCAGCCAUGCCGCGUGUGUGAAGAAGGCCUUAUGGUUGUAAAGCACUUUAAGCGAGGAGGAGGCUACUGAGACUAAUACUCUUGGAUAGUGGACGUUACUCGCAGAAUAAGCACCGGCUAACUCUGUGCCAGCAGCCGCGGUAAUACAGAGGGUGCGAGCGUUAAUCGGAUUUACUGGGCGUAAAGCGUGCGUAGGCGGCUUUUUAAGUCGGAUGUGAAAUCCCCGAGCUUAACUUGGGAAUUGCAUUCGAUACUGGGAAGCUAGAGUAUGGGAGAGGAUGGUAGAAUUCCAGGUGUAGCGGUGAAAUGCGUAGAGAUCUGGAGGAAUACCGAUGGCGAAGGCAGCCAUCUGGCCUAAUACUGACGCUGAGGUACGAAAGCAUGGGGGAGCAAACAGGAUUAGAUACCCUGGUAGUCCAUGCCGUAAACGAUGUCUACUAGCCGUUGGGGGCCUUUUGAGCUUUAGUGGCGCAGCUAACGCGAUAAGUAGACCGCCUGGGGGAGUACGGUCGCAAGACUAAAACUUCCAAUUGGAAUUGGACGGGGGGUCCCCAGUCAACCAAAAGUCCG
rnacentral:rRNA from 1 species